rnacentral:rRNA from 1 species
UACGAAGGACCCGAGCGUUAUCCGGAUUUAUUGGGUUUAAAGGGUGCGUAGGCGGAUUUACAAGUCAGUGGUGAAAUCUUCCAGCUUAACUGGGAAACUGCCAUUGAAACUGUUUAUCUUGAGUACAUUUGAGGCGGGCGGAAUGUGUCAUGUAGAGGUGAAAUUCUUAGAUAUGACACAGAACACCAAUUGCGAAGGCAGCUCGCUAAACUGUAACUGACGCUGAGGCACGAAAGCGUGGGGAUCAAACAGG